UACGGAAGGCAGCAGUGGGGAAUAUUGCACAAUGGGCGAAAGCCUGAUGCAGCUAUGCCGCGUGUAUGAAGAAGGCCUUAGGGUUGUAAAGUACUUUCAUCGGGGAGGAAAAACAAAACUAAUAAUUUUAUUUCUUGACGUUACCCGAAAAAGAAGCACCGGCUAACUCCGUGCCAGCAGCCGCGGUAAUACGGAGGGUGCCAGCGUUAAUCAGAAUUACUGGGCGUAAAGGGCACGUAGGUGGUUUUUUUAAGUCAGAUGUGAAAUCCCCUGGGCUUAACCUAGGAACUGCAUUUUGAAACUGAAAUACUAGAGUAUCGUAGAGGGAGGUAGAAUUCUAGGUGUAGCGGUGAAAUGCGUAGAUAUCUGGAGGAAUACCUGUGGCGAAAGCGGCCUCCUAAACGAAUACUGACACUGAGGUGCGAAAGCGUGGGGAGCAAAACAGGGAUUAGAUACC
rnacentral:rRNA from 1 species